CUGGUUGAUUCCUGCCAGUAGUCAUAUGCUUGUCUCAAAGAUUAAGCCAUGCAUGUCUAAGUGUAAACUUGGUUUACGGUGAAACUGCGAAUGGCUCAUUAAAUCAGUUAUCGUUUAUUUGAUGGUGUCUCUACUACAUGGAUAACCGUAGUAAUUCUAGAGCUAAUACAUGCUUCAACUCCCGACUGGUGCUCUCGGGCGCCUGGAAGGGAUGUAUUUAUUAGAUCCAAGACCAACGCGGUGCUUCCUUCACGGGGGGUGCCGGUUCUUUGGUGAUUCAUGAUAACUUCUCGGAUCGCAUGGCCUCUGCGCCGGCGAUGCUUCAUUCAAGUUUCUGCCCUAUCAACUGUCGAUGGUAGGGUAUUGGCCUACCAUGGUUGUAACGGGUGACGGAGAAUUAGGGUUCGAUUCCGGAGAGGGAGCCUGAGAAACGGCUACCACAUCCAAGGAAGGCAGCAGGCGCGCAAAUUACCCAAUCCCGACCUGGGGAGGUAGUGACAAAAAAUAACAAAGCGGCCCUAAAAAAGGGUUCAGCUAUUGGAAUGAGUACAAUGUAAACACCUUAACGAGGAUCAAUUGGAGGGCAAGUCUGGUGCCAGCAGCCGCGGUAAUUCCAGCUCCAAUAGCGUAUAUUAAAGUUGUUGCAGUUAAAAAGCUCGUAGUUGGAUUUCGGAGUCGUCAGGCCGGUCUGCCCUCAGUGGUGUGCACUGUGCCUUUGCUGGUGGAGGCGCGUACGUCCAUCGUUGGCGGGCGCGUCGUAUCUCUUCGGGGAUGCGGCGUGUCUGUCGGCGGUGGUAUCUCUGCGCGUCUUCCAUCCGACGGCUCUUCCCGCUCGAAGACCUGGCCUGCCCUUAGUUGGUGCGGGCCGUGGCAUUCGAGCUGUUUACUUUGAAAAAAUUAGAGUGUUCAAAGCAGGCUAUCAAUGAGGCUUGAAUACGUUAGCAUGGAAUAAUGGAAUAGGACUCUGGCGCCUAUUUUGUUGGUUCUUAAGCGCCUGGAGUAAUGAUUAAUAGGGACAGUUGGGGGCAUUCGUAUUUCUUUGUCAGAGGUGAAAUUCUUUAAUCUAAGAAAGACGAACAACUGCGAAAGCAUUUGCCAAGGAUGUUUUCAUUAAUCAAGAACGAAAGUUAGGGGUUCGAAGACGAUCAGAUACCGUCCUAGUCCUAACCAUAAACUAUGCCGACUAGGGAUCAGCGAACGUCGCCACUUACGAUGACGUCGUUGGCACCUUACGAGAAAUCAAGAGUGUCUGGGUUCUGGGGGGAGUAUGGUCACAAGGCUGAAACUUAAAGGAAUUGACGGAAGGGCACCACCAGGAGUGGAGCCUGCGGCUUAAUUUGACUCAACACGGGAAAACUCACCAGGUCCGGACAUAGUGAGGAUUGACAGA
rnacentral:rRNA from 1 species